rnacentral:rRNA from 1 species
UACGAAGGGGGCUAGCGUUGUUCGGAAUCACUGGGCGUAAAGGGCGCGUAGGCGGCUUUAUAAGUCGGGGGUGAAAGCCUGUGGCUCAACCGCAGAAUUGCCUUCGAUACUGUAGAGCUUGAGUCCGGAAGAGGUUAGUGGAACUGCGAGUGUAGAGGUGAAAUUCGUAGAUAUUCGCAAGAACACCAGUGGCGAAGGCGGCUGACUGGUCCGGUUCUGACGCUGAGGCGCGAAAGCGUGGGGAGCAAACAGG